rnacentral:rRNA from 1 species
CGCGUAGGUGGCUCGAUGAGUCAGAUGUGAAAGCCCCGGGCUUAACCUGGGAAUUGCAUUUGAUACUGUCGGGCUAGAGUCUGUCAGAGGGUGGCGGAAUUCCGGGUGUAGCGGUGAAAUGCGUAGAUAUCCGGAGGAACACCAGUGGCGAAGGCGGCCACCUGGGACAAGACUGACGCUGAGGUGCGAAAGCGUGGGGAGCAAACA